rnacentral:rRNA from 1 species
UACAGAGGUCCCAAGCGUUGUUCGGAAUCACUGGGCGUAAAGGGAGCGUAGGCGGGUUUUUAAGUCAGGUGUUUAAUCCCGGGGCCCAACCCCGGACAGGCACUUGAAACUGGGAAUCUUGAAUAGUGGAGAGGUCAGUGGAAUUGGGGGUGUAGCGGUGGAAUGCGUAGAGAUCCCCAAGAACACCCGUUGCGAAGGCGGCUGACUGGACACAUAUUGACGCUGAGGCUCGAAAGCAUGGGGAGCAAACAGGG